rnacentral:rRNA from 1 species
UGUGAGAGCACGACCCCCCACAAUGGGACUGAGAGACGGCCCAUACUCCUACGGGAGGCAGCAGCAGGGAAUAUUGCACAAUGGACGGAAGUCUGAUGCAGCGACGCCGCGUGGAUGAUGAAGGCCUUCGGGUUGUAAAAUCCUUUUCGGGGGGAAGAGAAAGGACGGUACCCCCGGAAUAAGCGUCGGCUAACUACGUGCCAGCAGCCACGGUAAUACGUAGGACGCGAGCGUUAUCCGGAUUUACUGGGCGUAAAGCGUCUGUAGGCGGUUGAGUAAGUUGGACGUGAAAGCUCCGGGCUUAACCCGGAGAGGCCGUUCAAUACUGCUUGACUGGAGGGCGUGAGAGGGGAGCGGAAUUCCCGGUGUAGCGGUAAAAUGCGCAGAUAUCGGGAGGAACACCAGUGGCGUAGGCGGCUCCCUGGUACGUACCUGACGCUGAGAGACGAAAGCUAGGGGAGCGAACAGGAUUAGAGACCCUGGUAGUCCUAGCCCUAAACGCUGGAUGCUAGGUGUGGGGCCGAAUAGGCUCUGUGCCGCAGCUAACGCGAUAAGCAUCCCGCCUGGGGAGUACGGCCGCAAGGCUAAAACUCAAACGAAUUGACGGGGCUCCGCACAAGCAGCGGAGCGUGUGGUUUAAUUCGAUUUACACGAAGAACCUUACCUGGGUUUGACAUGGAGGCGGUAGGGAAGCGAAAGCAGACCGACUCUUCGGAGAGCCUUCACAGGUGCUGCAUGGCUGUCGUCAGCUCGUGCCGUGAGGUGUCGGGUUAAGUCCCGUAACGAGCGCAACCCUUGCCCUUAGAUACAAGUGUCUAGGGGGACUGCCGGCGGAAGGCCGGAGGAAGGUGGGGAUGAUGUCAAGUCAGCAUGGCCCUUAUGUCCAGGGCUACACACACGCUACAAUGGACGGUACAAAGGGCAGCUAAGCCGCGAGGUGGAGCGAAUCCCAACAAAGCCGUCCGUAGUACGGAUAGCAGGCUGCAACUCGCCUGCUUGAAGCUGGAGUUGCUAGUAACCGCGCGUCAGCGAUAGUGCGGUGAAUACGUUCCCGGGGCUUGUACACACCGCCCGUCACGUCAUGGGAGUCGGUAACGCCUGAAGCCGGUAGCCUAACGCGCAAGCGAGGGCGCUGUCGAAGGCGGGGCUGGCGACUGGGACGAAGUCGUAACAAGGUAGCGGUACCGGAAGGUGCGGCUG